GACGAACGCUGGCGGCGCGCCUAACACAUGCAAGUCGAACGAGAAGGCGUAGCAAUACGCUUGUAGAGUGGCGAACGGGUGAGUAAUACGUGGGUGACCUACCCUCGAGUGGGGAAUAACCCGCCGAAAGGCGGGCUAAUGCCGCGUACGCUUCCGUCCUCACGGGGACGGAAGGAAAGCUGUACCGUGGGUACGGCGCUCAAGGAUGGGCUCACGUCCUAUCAGCUUGUUGGUAGGGUAACGGCCACCAAGGCUACGACGGGUAGCUGGUCUGAGAGGACGAUCAGCCACACUGGCACUGCGACACGGGCCAGACUCCUACGGGAGGCAGCAGUGAGGAAUAUUGCGCAAUGGGCGAAAGCCUGACGCAGCGACGCCGCGUGGGGA
rnacentral:rRNA from 1 species